CUCAAUCAAAUCGCUGCCCGGUCGCUCCCGCUCCUCGCGAGCAUCAGUCUAUCGUUCCCCGUCUCUUUUUUCCAAAGGCUUCAUUGUCCACAAGGUUCAAGUUCGUCGUUCGCGUGCACCGCUUGGGAGACCAUGGCGGCGAGGGGAGGGGUUGUCUCUCUGGGAGGCGCUUUCCUCAGUCACAAUGUUCAGAGGCCAAACGACGUAUUGACAAACAAGGCUAACUGUGAGAGAAGCUGUCCACUACACAUCUCAGCUACAAUUGCCAGACUCCAUGCCAGUACCCGAGAAGAGGGAAAGAACAGAAAUGGUAAUAAGGGAAAUGGGACUAUAAGAUGCCAUGGACACAAGAAUUGGAGGCUAGGGGUCCAAAGGACCAAGUGGUAGUCAAGAGAGAAGAGUUAGCAUCUGCCUGGAAAUUGUCACCCACCCAAAGCUUCUCUUCCUCGAUGAACCAACCAGUGGACUCGACAGGGCAACAUCCUCUUAUGUCAUGAGCAAAAUAGCUUGCUUGGACCAAAGAGAUGGAAUCAGAAGAACUAUAAUCGCAUCAAUUCAUCAACCCAGUAGUAAAGUCUUCCAGCUCUUGUUGGGUGCUUUAGAUUGGUUGUAGUAGGGUGGGCUGUGAUCACUGCAUAUAAUCAGUGAGAGGUUGUUUUGUCAAACUCAUAUGUUGUCUUCUCUUUCUUGUAGUGUUGUGCGCACAAAAUUAAAGUUGUAUACUUUGUUGUUAUCUAUUUUUGUAAUGGAACUAUUGAAGUUCAAUUAAUUCAAGUGUUUAAUGAUGAGUUAAUGAUGAUGCUUUUUGGUA